rnacentral:snRNA from 1 species
AGAUGUGAGGGUGAGCUGGCUGUCACAUUUGUUACCCCACAGAUCACCAAGUUGAUUCAGCUGAUCUAGCUGGAUAGGCCAGUGUCCCCCUCCUCCCUCACCACUCCAUGUGUGUUUCUCCUGAAUCUGCUGAUAGAGAAGGGUGAUUCUUUGUUCAAGGGUACCCAAGUACCAGCAUUCCCAUCAUAGACCCUCCAAACAAGUUCUCAACAAUCUGUUUUCCCAUUCUUAACUAGUAUUGUGCAUUUAAGUACUUUUUCUAUUUGAUAAGAAAUAGAUAGAG